rnacentral:misc_RNA from 1 species
AAAAAUUAAAAAAAAAUAAAAGAAAAAGAAAGAAAAUUCAAAAAUUUCUGCUAUACAAGAAAAAUACCAAGUUUGUUACCCAUCAACAUACCCAUUCACAUUUACCAUGAAAGGAGUAGACAGUAGUUGUCAUAGUAAUUCUAUAAAUACAACUUCAAAGGCACAAGCCUUCAUUGUACAACAUAUAUAUUACUAACCAAUAGGUUUUGUUAGGCUUCUAGUUUUGGUUCUGACUGUUAUUAUCUUUCUUAGUUCAAUUCCUAUAAUCAUCAAAACACUCAAAUGUUUAAGUAAUUUCCAUAAUUGUUGCUUGAAUGACUUGACUUCCUUGUGAUGAAAAUGAUGAAACUGUAAUGAGUCCCUACACAAGGAACUCGUACAAUUCAUGUUUGCAAAUGUGUUCUGAAUUUAUAUACGUGGCAAACAGAGCUAAUUGAUAUUGCCAAGUCCAAAGAACAAGGGGAGUUGUUGCAAUGGGAGUAUGUGCAGAAAAUGAAGUACUCAUGGAGCAUGGCCUCUGACGUUAUGAGACUAUCUCCACCUGUAAGCAUUGCUUUCAGAGAGGCCCUAGAUUUCACAUAUCAAGGUUAUACCAAAAGGAUGAAAAGUACCCUCACCUUUUACUUUAAGUUGUAUAUUGUUAUGAAGUAUUAAUAAUAAAUAUUAUUAUGAACUGUUUGG